rnacentral:rRNA from 1 species
GACGAACGCUGGCGGCGUGCCUAACACAUGCAAGUCGAACGGAAAGGCCCUGCUUUUGUUGGGUGCUCGAGCGGCGUACGGGUGAGUAACACGUGCGUAACCUUCCCUCGACUUUGGGAUAACUUCUGGAAACUGGGGCUAAUACCGGAUAGCAGCUACUGCUGCAUGGUGGGGGUUGGACAGUUUCGGCGGUUGGGGAUGGACUGGCGGCUUAUCAGAUUGCUGGUGGGGUAGUGGCAUGCCAAGGCUUUGCCGGGUAGCCGGCCUGAGAGGGGUACCGGCCAGGUUGGGACUGGAAUAAGGCCCGGACUCGAACGGGAGGCGGCGGUGGGGAAUGGUACACAAUGGGCGGGAGCCUGAUGCAGCGACGCGGCGUGGGGGAUAACGGCCUUCGGUUUGUAAAGCGCUUUCGCCUGUGACGAAGCGAGAGUGACGGUAAUGGGUAAAGAAGCACCGGCUAACUACGUG